GCCCUGAAGCAUGGGUCUGCGAAUGGCUCAUUACAACAGCAACAAUCCUAAUGGCUGUAGGGUGGCAGCUCAAACACCUCAAGUGUGGCAUCCAUCAAGCCCAACUGGCUGGUUAGUACGUGCAUGUGUUGCUCACCUCAAACAACAUUCCAGGAUCCUUGUUGGUCCUGGAUGGAGGGGGCAGCAACUGGCUGGGAACAAAGGCUGGUGCCUGACCAAGGCAGUUCCAGAUUGGUGAGUCAGGCCAAUGGUUGCUAUAGCAGAGUGGUGCCCACCGCUGCAAAGCCAUAGGAACUUCUGCCCUAUCAGCUGUUGAUGGUGAGAUAGUUGCUCACCAUUGCUAUGACAGGUAACAGAGAAUCAGGGUUUGAUUCUGGAGAGGGAGCCUGAGAAAUGGCUCCCACUGCCAAGGCAGGCAGCAGGCGCGGAAAUUGCCCAAUCCCAGCAUCCUGGGGGAGGC
rnacentral:rRNA from 1 species